GAGUUUUAUUUGCGCUCAACAUUUGUUCUCGAGGUUGGCUCUCGGUUUGCAUGUGAGAGCCAACUUCAGUGAGUUUACUAGAACAGAUCUGGUGUCUGAAGCAGACAGACCCCAUCGCCGGUGGCCUGUUGGCGGAGCCUGCUGCGAGCCGAUAGACAGACGGCAUGAGUGUCCGUCUCAGUCACGACUCUCAGAGAACACACGACUUCCUAACUGCAGUGAAAGUAGAAGUUUGAGAUGAUUUCUUGAGUGGGUUUUGAAACAUCUUUGAAAAGCCGGCUCACUCGCAGAUGUACGGCUCGAACUAUUCGGAAGUUUGGACGGUGAAUACAAAGAUAUACAUGGAGAACAAGACCUCGAGCCUGCAGUCAUACGGGCCGCUCUGGGAGGCUGUAUUUAGGCACGAGCUCAGCACAGCCCGUGCCGUUUAGACUGCUAACACGCUGAUAUUCUCACCAAACUUGGUAGUUUAGCCUCACGGGUUAAAUCAGAAGUCACGACGCCUUGGCAUCGGACUUGAAUUUUAAAUGCAAAAUAAAAAAGGUGACCAACGCAAAGGCUGUUCCUUUCCUAACAAGAUGCCAAAAAACUAGAUUACUGUAAUGCUCUAUUCAAAGGUCUACCAAAACAAUCCAUUGACAAAUUACACUUAACUCAGAACUCAGCUGCCAGGCUUUUAACUAGAACAAGAGAAAGAGAGCACGUCACCCCAUAACUUGCACUGGCUCCCAGUGUCUCUAAGGAUUUAUCUUCAAGUUCUUUUUACUUGUUUACAAGGCCCUUAAUGGGUUGGGAUCAGCCUACAUUACGAAUUCUUAGUGGUUUUAUAAUCCUUCAAGGCCUCUAAGAUCCUAGAGUUAUUUAACUAAGACAAUUCAGCAGCUCAGCCUUUUUUUACUUUACACCACAACUAUGGAAUUCCCUCCCAGGACUAUAAGAGAUGCACACUGCAUUAACAUUGUAAUUGAAAAUCUAAUCAAUACUCAAUCAGCAUUGCCUGUCACUCUUGUUUACAUGUGUUAGUGGACAUAUGCCUUCCUUUACCUUAUUGCUUGGUUUUGUUUUAAUUUGUUUGUUUUGAUUAAUUAUCUUCUUUUUGAACUUUAAUGAAAACAUUUUAAACUACCACCUGAAUGAAAGGUGCUGUAUACAACAAGUUAUUAAAUUAUCAUCAGUAAAUUAUUACUGUUCUUAUCAUAUUCGGCAGUUAUAAUGUUCACUAUAGAUCCAUUUACAGCAAGUUUAGGGAGGCACACGAGCAAUAAGUAUGUACACGUUUUUGCUCAUUAACAAGGUUGGUAGGGUUAAUGAUUUUCAACUCAGAUGUGGAUGUUUUCAUAAGGAUGGCAGCCUUCUUGUACAGUGUCCUUCUAUAUAAUUACAAUGUCCUGAAUAUAUGAAAAGGUGUUUAAAAAGUGUUAUGCCGAUAUCUAAUCUUUAGCAUGUUAGCAUGCUAACAUUUGCAAGUUAGACCUAAACACAAAAUACAGAUGAGUCUGGUUGGAAAAGCAUUAUUUGAUCACAUUUUUUAAAUCUUAUAAAGGCAGCAUUACUAUCGGAAAGAAAUUUCAUGAAAAUCCUUCGAACAACUGAGACAUUUAAAACCACAGAUGGUACGAUCAUAUCAUGGCACUAGAAGAAAAGUCAGGAGAGCACCAGAUACAAGAUUGAACAACCUUGGACUCAUAUGUACAAAAUUAAACAGCAAUCUAUCUCAAACUGAUGUCAAUAUAUUUCAGACCAACUUUCCAACACUGCCAAAGAGCCAUGUCCAUGUAGCUUUUUAAAAAGUGUUACGCUAUAUACUGUACUUUAGGCCUCCCUGUUUAGUACAGUGAACUGGUUAAUGUUAGUUAUGAAAUGCUUCAUUCAUGGUAUAUCGCAUAUAUGUGCUGAUAACUAACCUAAAUAUGGCAGUAUGCAUCCACUACUGUUUGCACUCAUCCCUAGAAAUAAACAUUGGCUCACUGCUAAUCGUCCCUGUGUCAGCCAUGCGUAACACCGCAUGUCACAGCGGCCGUGCAUGUUGAAAGCCUCGCAGACCUUUGUUUUGGAAAAUGUAGCAGAGGUUGCCAUGGAGCUUGUAUUUGAUCUAUUGUAAUUAACCGAGCCCAUUGAUUGCACAAUGCUUCUCCCUGGCUCGUCUCCGUCAACAGGCAGCCCUGACGUUUAAUCAAACACCACGUAAACCACCGUUUACGAAGUCGCCUCCCCACAAUGAUUUGUCCUCACAUGGCCCGUCAGGGAUGAAAGGGGCACAGGAAGUGGAAGGAAGGCCGGCCAAUAAGGAUCAUUAGAGGAUUUAACAAAGCUCAGGUUUACUGUUUUGAAACCUGAGCUCAAGAGAACUGAUAAGUGUUCACUGAUUACUCUGUAUGUGUGUGUGUGUGUGUGUGUGUGUGUGUGUGUGUGUGUGCGCGCGCUACAGCCAGCAGUCAAUUAGCUUAGCUUAGCAUAACCACUUGAAGCACUUGGGUAACAGCACGUUAUGAAUUACGCUUCCUUUCCUGGUAAGACCUGUCUGACAUUGAAUAGCCAGGCAUCCAUGCCUGCCAAAGUAAUGGUAGCCUGAUUUGUUUGGUCAUAUAUGCCUUGACCAAUAAGCUUUCCUGACCAUAACCACUUGAGGUCAAUGUCUAACCAAAUCGUCUCUGACUCAACCAGUUACGCAGGAAAUAGCCACACAACAGCUAGCAUAGCUCUGUUUUUUAAUAAUAAUUCAGCCAUAAAAAGCACCUUCAAAGCCAAUAGUCAUGCAGAUAUUCAUUUGUAAAACCAUGAACAAAUCUGUUUAGAAAUAAUUAGUUUUUACGAAUUAAGGUGUUGGUAAAUGAGCUUUAGCAAUGUUUAGCAGAUUAUUUUCCACAUAGCCAUGCUAGCUGUUUCUCCGCGCCGCCACUCUUUACUCUAAACUAACCAUCUCCUGGCUGGAGCUUCGUAUUUAACAGGCAGACUAAUGAUCUCUAACUCUCUGCGAAAAAGUAAUGAACUAAAAUGUCUGAAUUAUUUCUUGUUGCAUAUUGAGGGGAAUUCUUUGGGAUUAACCAUUAGGCCUAUAUGAGUAAUUAAACAGUUAGCCACAGUGUUUAGUCAUUCCUCUGAAAUCGAGUCACGUUAUGUGGUUCAUGCUGAGGAAGUCCUACUAGGUGGCCACAUCCCUCUGUAAAUGUGUCCUUUGUCCCUUAGUAGUCCAGUCACUGUGUCCUAAUGCGUGUCACGCAGCCUGCUAUAAAGUCAAUUAGUCCUGCUUUCCAACACCAGGGGUGAAAAUCUGGGGCUCACAUGUCCCGUCAGGGAUGACCUUCACAUGAGGGACUGAGCCAACACUCACAUAUGGCCAAGCCCUGGGGUGGGAAACUGCCUACUCUGGCCAAGGACAGGACUGUGAAGGGUGGAUGGAUACGAGCAUGUAAUCUCGAGAGAUAUGGCAACUUUAUACUUUUUUUAUUUUUCUAAGAUAUAAAAAUAGAAUUUUCCAAGGUUGUAGAAAUUAAAAGGUAGGAAGAAAAUAAAAGCUAAAUUCACACAAUC